CUCUAACCCCGCGCGGUGGCCUGAGCCCUGGAACUGUCCCCUGUCGGCCCCCGCCCCCUCAGUCCAGUGGUGCCAUGGAAACAGGGCCAGGAGUCAGGCAGAGCCAGGUUCGGAUUCCACCGCGUCCGGCUUUGUGAUCGCGGACCAGCGGCCCACCCUCGGGCCCUUAGGGCCUCAUCGAUAAGUACCACUGUCUGCACCGUCAGUAAUAACACUGGAGCCCCUCGAGAGGGUCUCAGAGGUGGUGAUGUAUGAUAGCAGUCUGCACAUAAUGGGUCGACACUAAAUUUACCAGUUGUUAACAUUCUCCACGUUUGCCUUCUCACCCAUAAAUGGUACAGAUGCCUGCGUACAUAAGGAAUUACACUUACACACGAUCUAACUUCCACAAACUAAAAGCUUUGAGUAACGGCCUCGCUGAAUUUAAAACACUCAUAAAUACUGUUCCUAACCGUCCCAUGUCACUGGCCCGUAUAACUGCAAAGAUUGCACCCUCCUCCAUUUUAAAGAGUAAUUGUUCUGUUGUGUU